GAGGUUGGGAUAAGAAACAACAUAAUAUAGCCACAAUCAUAAGGCUAUAGUGCAGGUAGGACCCUUAUCAAAAUUUAGCUAUUGAUUUAGCAUUUUAUCUAUGAGGCUUUUGGUAUUUAUAAAUUGUACGAGUAAGUUGGGAAAAAUUGGCAAAACUAUUUUGCCAUAUAUUCACUUUUUUUUUUCAUUUAAUUUUUAGGUUUAGGGUGUAAAAAGUGGAAAAAAAUUGAAAAAGUGGGGCCCACACGUGAGCUAAGGGAUCAUUUCAUCAUUUUUACAACUUUGCAAAUUUAAUAUAAUACACCUAACACCCUCCACUUAUUCCAAUAUUAAAAAAAAACUCUCUCUCCUCUUCAAUUCUCUCCAACUCCCGCAAUUUCCAACAAGCUCCUCCUAAAACAUCAUUUUUGUCUCUCCUUCUUCUCCAGCUGCUAAGGGCUCAUCGUUGCUUUAUAAGAUUUGGAUCUAUGAGGCAUUUCCUCAUCUUGAAAAAUUUGCUGAAAAAUCAAUGGAUGAGCCCUUUCUCAUUUUUCACAUCCUGAGAUGGCACACUACAAAAAGUGAGAAGAUAAUCGAAGGCGACCUAUUCAAGCAUAAAGGAAAAGUUACCAAGAAUGUGCACCAGUACAUCAUCCCUACUAUUCGUGAGACGGAGAUGGAUUACAUGAUUACGUUUAAGUCAUAUACGAACGAGGUAAAUAAUAACAAAGAUUUACAAGGGUGACUGUCCUUACUUUAAAUAAGGACAGUGAUGAUGACGGAGAUUUGAGUAGUAACCCUGUUGGAGUACGCAUUGGUGAUGAUGCUUCUCCAAGAAUCUCCAAAGAUAUAGCAGGCACCUCUGUCGAUGGGAAUCUUCAUAAGCGUGUUGCUAUGCUCGAGAAAGCGAUGUUGGAUAUUGCUGCCUACAUCAUAGAUAAGAGAUUAAAGAAAAAGAAAAAGGAUGAGCGAUAAUAUGAGCGAGUGCAUAUGGACCUUUAGAAAUCAGAGAGAAAUGAAGAAGAAGAAAAAAAAUGAAUGAGUUGGUCACUGUUGUAGCAAGAGAGGGAAAAGGGAUAAACAAGAAGAAAUAGAAGAAGAUAAGAGCCAAGAAAAAACUGAAAAAAAAAGUUGCAGAAGAAGAAGCUAAAAAGAAGCAG